rnacentral:rRNA from 1 species
CAAGAGUUUGAUCCUGGCUCAGGAUGAACGCUGGCGGCGUGCCUAACACAUGCAAGUCGAGCGAACCCUUCGGGGUGAGCGGCGGACGGGUGAGUAACGUGUGGGUAACCUGCCCUAUACACACGGAUAACGUACCGAAAGGUACGCUAAUACGAGAUGAUAUAAGAGAUUCGCAUGGAUUUCUUAUCAAAGCUCCGGCGGUAUAGGAUGGACCCGCGUCUGAUUAGCUAGUUGGUAAGGUAACGGCUUACCAAGGCGACGAUCAGUAGCCGACCUGAGAGGGUGAUCGGCCACAUUGGAACUGAGACACGGUCCAAACUCCUACGGGAGGCAGCAGUGGGGAAUAUUGCACAAUGGGCGAAAGCCUGAUGCAGCAACGCCGCGUGAGCGAUGAAGGCCCUCGGGUCGUAAAGCUCUGUCCUCAAGGAAGAUAAUGACGGUACUUGAGGAGGAAGCCCCGGCUAACUACGUGCCAGCAGCCGCGGUAAGAGGUUCC